AUGCGCAACCGCAGAGUGGUAAGUUUUUUCAAUAUACAGUUGAAAACAUAUUUCUCAGCUUUCACAAAGCCCACUAUGUAUUACUUACUAUAUGAGUCCCGUUUGUAUAUUCUGAGGAGGUUUUGCGCAUUAUACGAAGCCCGACAGUGUUGUCAAUAUUUACCUAGUACGCAGUUCCUUUCAAUAAAAUAACAAAUAUCCAAAUCUUCAAUAGGGCUGCACUUAUCUGGUUUCUAGAAAAUAUUAUGCACUUUUUUUAACAUAUUUGAGAGUUUACUUAGUGUAGUGUGUUGGUUUGUACUACCAGAAUGGACAGAACUAAAUUUCUCAUAAGUUUAGCUGCUCAAAAUGAAACAGCACAUGUGACAGACGUGGGUGAAGUUACUCAUUUACCUAAACGUCAAAGGUCUACAUACUCCAGACCACCUUCUUCAGAAUCAAGAAGUAGCACAAGCAGUUUUCAAGAUUUUGCGAGCUCUGGUAGUGAAUAUGUACCUCCUGAUAAACAUCCAACUACUAAUUUUAAUUGGUCAAAUUCAGAUUCUGCCCAGCCUUCUCCUGAUAUUCCAUAUCUAAAGCAGGUAAAUAAUUAUUAGAUUGUGGUUUAUUUCGUCAUUAUGACUUUGAAACUUACUUUUAGAUUACCACAUCUCAAGAUCGAAUUAAAAUAGAUCCUACUUCGUUA